UACGAAGGGAGGGCGACGUUGCUCGGAAUCACUGGGCGUAAAGGGUGCGUAGGCGGGUCUUUAAGUCAGGGGUGAAAUCCUGGAGCUCAACUCCAGAACUGCCUUUGAUACUGAAGAUCUUGAGUUCGGGAGAGGUGAGUGGAACUGCGAGUGUAGAGGUGAAAUUCGUAGAUAUUCGCAAGAACACCAGUGGCGAAGGCGGCUCACUGGCCCGAUACUGACGCUGAGGCACGAAAGCGUGGGGAGCAAACAGG
rnacentral:rRNA from 1 species